UUUCCCUGCAGACGUCUGACGUCUUCGUCUGUUUCAAGCGUGCUCGCCAACUGCUCGCUGAAGCGUUUUCGGAUGGCGGCUUUGCGGUGCUCGUGAGGUAUGAACAACUGGCCCAAUAUUUCAAGAUCUCACACCCCAAACAAUCCCCUGUAUCUGUUAUACACUGGACAGCGGCCACAAACCACAAAAGAUAUUGGACUAUCACGGUCUGGCACUUGUACGCCUCUACGAAGUCGUGGUUCCCCACCGCGUACGUGCACCUGGAAAAGAAACGUGGAGGCUGAGAGCCAGGGCGUCAGAAAGCGCAGACCUGAUAACCCAGACAUCGUUACGCAGACUGCACGGCUCACUUCAGCCCAGCCGCCCCAGGUCCCAGCUGAUCCCGGAACGGAAGCUGGAAACUCCCGCCCGGCAAGAGACAAAGGGUCAAGGCAGAAGUAACAAACGACUAUAUGAACCGAAUCAGAUUACCUUAAAUGAGCUGCGAACAUCUCAUCGUAAGGGGGCUCCAAAACUUGCUGACACUUC